AUUGAACGCUGGCGGCAGGCCUAACACAUGCAAGUCGAGCGGAUGAAGGGAGCUUGCUCCUGGAUUCAGCGGCGGACGGGUGAGUAAUGCCUAGGAAUCUGCCUGGCAGUGGGGGAUAACGUCCGGAAACGGGCGCUAAUACCGCAUACGUCCUGAGGGAGAAAGUGGGGGAUCUUCGGACCUCACGCUAUCAGAUGAGCCUAGGUCGGAUUAGCUAGUUGGUGGGGUAAAGGCCUACCAAGGCGACGAUCCGUAACUGGUCUGAGAGGAUGAUCAGUCGCACUGGAACUGAGACACGGUCCAGACUCCUACGGGAGGCAGCAGUGGGGAAUAUUGGACAAUGGGCGAAAGCCUGGUCCAGCCAUGCCGCGUGUGUGAAGACGGUCUUCGGAUUGUAAAGAACUUUAAGUUGGGAGGAAGGGCAGUAAGUUAAUACCUUGCUGUUUUGACGUUACCAACAGAAUAAGCACCGGCUAACUUCGUG
rnacentral:rRNA from 1 species